UCAACCGUGGAACCGCUCGGGUAUACUGGUUGUCUUGAGCCGGCUAGGGGCGAGCCGAACAGACGGUGGAGCCGUGAAAUGCGUAGAUAUCGUCUGGAACGCCGAACGGUGAAAACAGCUCGCUGGGGGCCGCGCUGACGCUGAGACACGAAAGCCAGGGGAGCGAACGGGAUUAGAUACCCCGGUAGUCCUGGCCCUAAACGAUGUCCACUAGAUCGCUGGACUUUGACGGUCUGGCGGUCGAAGCCAAAGUGCUAAGUGGACCGCCUGGGAAGUACGGUCGCAAGGCUAAAACUCAAAGGAAUUGACGGGGGCUCACACAAGCGGUGGAGCAUGUGGUUCAAUUCGAAGCAACGCGCAGAACCUUACCUGGGCUUGACAUGCCAGGAUUAUCCCCAUGAAAGUGGGGUAGGCCCCGCAAGGGGUACAACUGGUACAGGUGCUGCAUGGCUGUCGUCAGCUCGUGUCGUGAGAUGUCGGGUUAAGUCCCUUAACGAGCGAAACCUUUGCCCUUAGUUACCAGCGGGUAAUGCCGGGGACUCUAAGGGGACUGCCGGUGUCAAACCGGAGGAAGGUGGAGAUGACGUCAAGUCCUCAUGGCCUUUAUGCCCAGGGCCACACACGUGCUACAAUGGGGUGCACAGAGCGAACCGAAAACGCGAGUUUAAGGAAAUCGCAUAAAUCACCCCCCAGUUCAGAUCGGAGGCUGCAGCCCGCCUCCGUGAAGUUGGAAUCGCUAGUAAUCGCGGAUCAGCUACGCCGCGGUGAAUGUGUUCCUGAGCCUUGUACACACCGCCCGUCAAGUCAUGGGAGCCGGGAAUAGCCGAAGUGGCCACACCACCGUGGUCCCUACGCUAGGCUCGGUGACUGGGACUAAGUCGUAACAAGGUAGCCGUAGGGGAACC
rnacentral:rRNA from 1 species